rnacentral:rRNA from 1 species
GACGAACGCUGGCGGCGUGCUUAACACAUGCAAGUCGAACGGAAAGGCCCUGCUUUUGUCGGGUGCUCGAGUGGCGAACGGGUGAGUAACACGUGAGUAACCUGCCCUUGACUUUGGGAUAACUUCAGGAAACUGGGGCUAAUACCGGAUAGGAGCUCCUGCUGCAUGGUGGGGGUUGGAAAGUUUCGGCGGUUGGGGAUGGACUCGCGGCUUAUCAGCUUGUUGGUGGGGUAGUGGCUUACGAAGGCUUUGGCGGGUAGCCGGCCUGAGAGGGUGACCGGCCACAUUGGGACUGCGAUACGGCCCAGACUGGUACGGGAGGCAGCAGUGGGGAAUAUUGCACAAUGGGCGGACGCCUGAUGCAGCAGCGCGGCGAGCGGGAUGACGUCCUUCGGGUUGUAAACCGCUUUCGCCUGUGACGAAGCGUUAGUGACGGUAAUGGGUAAAGAAGCACCGGCUAACUACGUG